rnacentral:tRNA from 1 species
GCCAGUGUGGCGGAAUGGUAUACGCAGCGUCUUGAGAGGGCGUGGUCUUACGACAUGAGGGUUCGACUCCCUCCACUGGCA